AUACGAGCUGCGAAGGCAUCUUCAGCAGCUGGAAAGAACUUCGGUCAGGGAUGAGCUCGCGGCCUAUCAGCUAGUUGGUGAGGUAACGGCUCACCAAGGCGUCGACGGGUAGCCGGCCUGAGAGGGUGACCGGCCACACUGGGACUGAGACACGGCCCAGACUCCUACGGGAGGCAGCAGUGGGGAAUAUUGCACAAUGGGCGAAAGCCUGAUGCAGCAACGCCGCGUGAGGGACGACGGCCUUCGGGUUGUAAACCUCUUUUAGCAGGGAAGAAGCGAAAGUGACGGUACCUGCAGAAAAAGCGCCGGCUAACUACGUGCCAGCAGCCGCGGUAAUACGUAGGGCGCAAGCGUUAUCCGGAAUUAUUGGGCGUAAAGAGCUCGUAGGCGGUCUGUCGCGUCUGCUGUGAAAACCCGAGGCUCAACCUCGGGCCUGCAGUGGGUACGGGCAGACUAGAGUGCGGUAGGGGAGAUUGGAAUUCCUGGUGUAGCGGUGGAAUGCGCAGAUAUCAGGAGGAACACCGAUGGCGAAGGCAGAUCUCUGGGCCGUAACUGACGCUGAGGAGCGAAAGGGUGGGGAGCAUCCAGGCUUAGAUACCCUGGUAGUCCACCCCGUAAACGUUGGGACUCCUAGUUGUGGGGACCAUUCCACGGUCUCCGUGACGCAGCUAACGCAUUAAGUUCCCCGCCUGGGGAGUACGGCCGCAAGGCUAAAACUCAAAGGAAUUGACGGGGACCCGCACAAGCGGCGGAGCAUGCGGAUUAAUUCGAUGCAACGCGAAGAACCUUACCAAGGCUUGACAUAUACGAGAACGGGCCAGAAAUGGUCAACUCUUUGGACACUCGUAAACAGGUGGUGCAUGGUUGUCGUCAGCUCGUGUCGUGAGAUGUUGGGUUAAGUCCCGCAACGAGCGCAACCCUCGUUCUAUGUUGCCAGCACGUAAUGGUGGGAACUCAUGGGAUACUGCCGGGGUCAACUCGGAGGAAGGUGGGGAUGACGUCAAAUCAUCAUGCCCCUUAUGUCUUGGGCUUCACGCAUGCUACAAUGGCCGGUACAAAGGGCUGCAAUACCGUAAGGUGGAGCGAAUCCCAAAAAGCCGGUCCCAGUUCGGAUUGAGGUCUGCAACUCGACCUCAUGAAGUCGGAGUCGCUAGUAAUCGCAGAUCAGCACGCUGCGGUGAUACGUUCC
rnacentral:rRNA from 1 species